rnacentral:rRNA from 1 species
UACGGAGGGUGCGAGCGUUGUCCGGAAUCAUUGGGCGUAAAGGGCGCGUAGGUGGCCCGGCAAGCGUGCGGUGAAAGCUCGGGGCUCAACCCCGAGUCGGCCGUGCGAACUGCUGGGCUCGAGCGCUGUAGAGGCAGGCGGAAUUCCGGGUGUAGCGGUGGAAUGCGUAGAGAUCCGGAAGAACACCGGUGGCGAAGGCGGCCUGCUGGGCAGUGGCUGACACUGAGGCGCGACAGCGUGGGGAGCAAACAGG